GACAGUGUAGCAUAAUGGUUAGAGUGUUCGGCUAGGAUCUGGGAGAGCAGGGUUCAAAUCCCCGCUCAGCCA